CGGAUAUCCACAUUACAGUUGCCUUAGAAAGUCUGUGUCCAUGGUGAUGAGUCACUUCCUGGUCAUUUACAGCACAAGAAAAAGAAAAAGGUUAAAUAAUUAUGGCAAAACUUCAACACUAAGAAAGCAGAAUUACAUAAAGACAAACAGGCCAAUGUAGGAGUCAAAAAGUCUUGAACAGUGAGAGCAGCCCAAGAAUAAGACGUCCCAUGAAUCAUUUUCUUUCUCGCUAUAAACAGACAAAAGAAAGGUUAGGUGAAGGUCCCUUGAAGCUUUUUCUCAGUUAAAACUUCUCCCAUCCCAUAGAAACGUGAGUAACUUGGAAACGUGCGGCACGCCCAUUUUAAUUGGUUCUAGAAACUCACUAAUCAACCAUCACUUGAAUCCAAGCUGUACGAAUUCAAACAGAAGCAGCCACCACCCUUCUAUAAUAAUAAAUUCCCAAUUAACUUUUUCUUUACACCAACCAGCCCUUUUAAAAAGAAUUUGCCUGAUAAGUGCUAAUCUUAUCUGGGUUUAUCUAUAGAAACCUUUUUUUUUCAGUGGUCUGUGUUGAAUCAUGGGUUUUUCUAAGCCUUCUCUACUUCUGAUCCUGUUAAUUAUCAUUGUUUCGGUGUACCAUAAACCAGAAACUGCAGAAGCAAGGCCACUGUCCUUCCAGCCUCAACAGAGAUAUGGGAAGAUAUUUGAAACGCUUGGAAUUGCUUGCAAGUGUUGUGAUGUGAGUGGAAAAGAGUGCUCUAGUGCUUGGACUGAGCCUUGUUCAAAGCUUCAAUGUCUGCCAUGGAAGUAUAAUAAAGACACCACUGUUCUCGCCAGUUAAACUCUCUACAUAUGUUGGUUUGUUUGUACAUAUCGAAUUAUCGAUAUCUAUAUACUGAAAUUGAGUGGUCUAAAUCUGUUCAAGACACUGGCUUGUUGAUAUAUAUAUCUUAAGCUUUAUAUGGGUGUUUUAGUUCUUGGCUUCUCUGUUCUAUACAGAUGUACUUUAAUUUAGCUAAAACUCCAUCUCUAAGUAUAACAAGAAAUCUAGUUCAAGGUGUA